rnacentral:rRNA from 1 species
UACGUAGGGGGCAAGCGUUGUCCGGAAUCAUUGGGCGUAAAGAGCGCGUAGGCGGCCCUGUAAGUCCGCUGUGAAAGUCAAGGGCUCAACCCUUGAAUGCCGGUGGAUACUGCAGGGCUAGAGUCCGGAAGAGGCGAGUGGAAUUCCUGGUGUAGCGGUGAAAUGCGCAGAUAUCAGGAGGAACACCGAUGGCGAAGGCAGCUCGCUGGGACGGUACUGACGCUGAGGCACGAAAGCGUGGGGAGCGAACAGG